rnacentral:rRNA from 1 species
UACAGAGGUCUCAAGCGUUGUUCGGAUUCAUUGGGCAUAAAGGGUGCGUAGGUGGCGCGCUAAGUCAGGUGUGAAAUUUCGGAGCUUAACUCCGAAACUGCAUUUGAUACUGGCGUGCUUGAGGACUGGAGAGGAGACUGGAAUUCAUGGUGUAGCAGUGAAAUGCGUAGAGAUCAUGAGGAAGACCAGUGGCGAAGGCGGGUCUCUGGACAGUUCCUGACACUGAGGCACGAAGGCCAGGGGAGCAAACGGG